ensembl:lncRNA
GGACGGCAUACCACAACCACAUUCAGCCGGAUUCCCCACAAUCCUCUGGAAAUGUGUUUGGCAUUCCAGCUCUGGCAUCCUGCCUUUGAUGCUGGGUUUAAUUCUAAUGGCGCAACACAUCCAAUCCGGUUAUGGGUUUCAGGCCGCUGGAGCAUGGAGGCGGCAUGUCCAUCUUUAAUCCCAAUCAGACGUGCUUGACUCAGGAUGUGAAGCCGGCCCACUGGUACUGCAUGGGAUUGCUGAUAAAGGAUAAUUCUGGUCCUGUUUGAAUAGGACACAUGGAGCGACUCUCCGUCAGUCAGACAGGGACCCUCGACUGAAGCUUUCUGGAGCUCAAGUUGUGCCAGAAACAUUCAGUGUACUUCAAUCACACACUCUCAUCAUUCCUUUCAUACCAGCAUGCAUUUCUGUGGCUCUUCCAGCCUUAACAGAAUAAAUGGAAGAGACUAUUGUUUCUGUAGAUUAUGAGCUAAUCCCAUUUAGGAUGGAUGAAGCAGUACAAUAGUGUUUUUUUUUUUUUUUUUUAAUAGCAAAAAAAGCAGCUAAAUAUGCAUUUCUGAAUCAACAUUUAAACAAAUGUGUCUUUGUGCACUCACUGCAAUGUCACAUUUUGUGACACACUGUUGUCACCUAACAAAAAAUAAAAAAAUAAAUUGAAGAUGAUCGACACAUUCAUAUUUGAAUCUUCCAAUGACAAACAUGUUUUCUAUAACUGCUAGAAACUUGAAUUAUACAAACACUGAUAUAAAUUUGGUGUACAAACCAUUUUCACUAAGAAAGUGCUAGUAAAUUUUACAAAGAGUUACAAAGAAACCGCAAGUAACAUUAAAUUAAACAUGACAUUUUUAAGUGGAAAAACUGGCGGUAUGUUCUUGUAAAACGUAUAUAAUAUAAAAUUAUAUAAUAUAAUUAUUAGGGCUGUCAACGUCAACAUGUGCAAUUACUUUUACAAUUCUUAACUCAUUAAAAUUAUUUAACGCAAUUAAUGCAAAAUUACUAAUCUAACCGCUAACCUAAUUUUGCUUCUCUGUUAACGAUCAGGUCAUUUUAAGCCACUAAACUCCGAUGCUUGUAUUGUAUUGUAUUGUAUUGUAUUGUAUUGAUUCAAUGCAUGUGUGAGUGCUCUUGAUGCACUGAUCACACUUUGUAUUUAUGUACAUGCACAGACGUUUCCAUACAUUCACGUUGUUUCCACACACAUUCAUGAUAAUGUUUUGAUUUGCUGUGUUUAGUUAUUC